UACGGAGGGUGCAAACGUUGCUCGGAAUUAUUGGGCGUAAAGCGCUCGUAGGCGGCCCGUUAAGUCGGAUGUGAAAGCCCUGGGCUCAACCCAGGAAGUGCAUUCGAAACUGGCAGGCUUGAGUAUGGAAGAGGGUCGCGGAAUUCCCGGUGUAGAGGUGAAAUUCGUAGAUAUCGGGAGGAACACCAGUGGCGAAGGCGGCGACCUGGGCCAAUACUGACGCUGAGGUGCGAAAGCGUGGGGAGCAAACAGG
rnacentral:rRNA from 1 species